CAGUCGCCACGGGAAUACGUAGGUGGCGAGCGUUGUCCGGAAUUAUUGGGCGUAAAGGGCUCGCAGGCGGUUUCUUAAGUCUGAUGUGAAAGCCCCCGGCUCAACCGGGGAGGGUCAUUGGAAACUGGGAAACUUGAGUGCAGAAGAGGAGAGUGGAAUUCCACGUGUAGCGGUGAAAUGCGUAGAGAUGUGGAGGAACACCAGUGGCGAAGGCGACUCUCUGGUCUGUAACUGACGCUGAGGAGCGAAAGCGUGGGGAGCGAACAGGAUUAGAUACCCCUGUAGUCCCUGUCUCUUAUAU
rnacentral:rRNA from 1 species